CCUCUGGUAUCUUUUUUCCCUCUUUUACCUUUAACAACAUUAAAAUACAAGUUUUUAGCCUCUUUAAAUUGUUAUAGACUGGAUUUUUUUUAAUUGAAAAAACACUGAAUUUUAUAUAUCUAUGUAUCAAACCUAGAAAUAUUAAAAUAAAUUGAGUAAUUUUUAAAUGCUUGUGGUUAUUUAGACCAAAAAAAAGAUUUCUUCAGGAAUAAGUUUAGAUAUUUACAAUCAAUGAGAUAUUGUAGCAAUUGUAUAAGAAAAAAAGAAAAAAAUCAAAGUCUCAAUUUAUUUUACUGUUUUCAAAUUGAUAGAAAAAAUUUGGUUAAGGUGGUACAUUACAAUAAAAUGAGAGUUAUCUCCCUGUUGUGUUAUGUACCACCUUAAGCAAGAUAUCCAGAAUUAUGGCCUUCAUAUAUGAUUUGUUGAACCGUGUUGACCUAAGUAAAGAAAAUAAUUAACUUUGUAGCAAUAAUAGGGAUGAAGUUAAUAGCAAGUCAUGACAAUUUAAAAAAAAUCUGAGUAAAUUCCGUUUCCUUUCACUCAAGUUUUUAAAUAUGCAUUUGCAUGAUUAGUACCAGUCCUGUUCAUAUUUGAAAAAAAAGAAGUAUGGAACCUUGCAUUAUUUUUUGGACAUUAAAUUUCUAGUUAUCAGUUUCUGGUUAUGUACAGGUACAUAUUGACUGUUUGUUGAACACACCAUUAAUAUAUAUCAAGUGUCAAAAGAAUGUAGUUAAAAUUUCAUCCUGAAAUAUUGUAUUGUAAAUAUUGCUAUAUUUCACUGUAGAUUAAUGAAAAUCAGCAUUUUAUUAUUGUAUAAAAAUGUGAUAUUGACU
rnacentral:lncRNA from 1 species